rnacentral:rRNA from 1 species
UGGGGAAUAUUGGACAAUGGGCGAAAGCCUGAUCCAGCCAUGCCGCGUGUGUGAAGAAGGUCUUCGGAUUGUAAAGCACUUUAAGUUGGGAGGAAGGGCAGUAAGCGAAUACCUUGCUGUUUUGACGUUACCGACAGAAUAAGCACCGGCUAACUCUGUGCCAGCAGCCGCGGUAAUACAGAGGGUGCAAGCGUUAAUCGGAAUUACUGGGCGUAAAGCGCGCGUAGGUGGUUCGUUAAGUUGAAUGUGAAAGCCCCGGGCUCAACCUGGGAACUGCAUCCAAAACUGGCGAGCUAGAGUAGGGCAGAGGGUGGUGGAAUUUCCUGUGUAGAGGUGAAAUGCGUAGAUAUAGGAAGGAACACCAGUGGCGAAGGCGACCACCUGGGCUCAUACUGACACUGAGGUGCGAAAGCGUGGGGAGCAAACAGG